ensembl:lncRNA uncharacterized LOC113884704
CUCACACGAAGAUUGCUCACUACAGGGGUAGGGACUUGGGGGAGGAGGAUGUACCAGACUCGUUCCUCUUCACCCUGGGAAUGACCAGUAGAUGAACUGCCUGGAUUUUGACUGCAUUCAGAAAUUUCUGACCACAGGACUCAUGGACCACCUUUUGAAGUUCUGGGGAUAAUAAGAAACAUCUGAAUGGCUUAUUCUAGCCCUGUGAGCUGACCUCCGGAGCUAACUUGGUAGCCCCACCCUUCGGGUGGGGAAAAGCCCAAGAACUCUUAGGAGUGAAGCCUUUCCCGCUCUCUUGCUGCUCCUCCUAAAUGUUUCCUCUGCAGCUGCAUAGGCUGGCAGGCAGCCUGAGAUGGAGCCCUACUCAGAAGAUCCCCACCUCUGCUGGGUUGCCCGGCUCCUGGGACUCACCAGCCUCCUCCUCAGCAUCUGCAGCACAGUGGUCCAGAGUUCUGGAAAAUAUGGUUCUGAAGUUCAGAAUUCUAGAUUUGUUCCCAUGCAGGGGAUCCAAGGAGGUUCUGUGCUAUUUCAUAUAGUCAAGAAGCAAGAAGCUGACCCAGAGGAGGUCUCAUGGGGCUUUGGCCCUGAGUUAAACUACAGAGUCCUGCUGCGAGUCCACCGUGGGGCAGACACCCCAACCUGGGUCAGCCUCCAGGACAAGUACCAGCAGAGGGUCCAAGUGCCCAAUGUGACAUCCUUGAAGAUUGAGAACCUGACCCCAGAGGACAGUGGGCAGUACCGGGCUCGAGCCAGCUUCACUGGAGGAAUGGAAUUGAACCAGGUUUUCCUCCUCACUGUCUAUGAGCCUGUGAUCCUUCCUAAGAUCCUGGUCAAGUCAUCAUCAAUCACACCAGGCUUGUGCAAUGUCACCCUGGAGUGCAGGCACCCAGGGAAGAGAAAGGACCUGAAGGUGACCUGGGAGAGCGAGGGCCUUCCCAGGGAGCUGGAGUGGAGUGGGACACCAGGACCAGCCCCCAGCUCCUGGAGCCUGACUGUGAACCUGUCCCUGAGCCAGCCCAAUGCCAGCCUCACCUGUGUGGUCAGCAACCAUGCAGACAAGAAAACUGCCACUGUAGACUUUGCACAAGUCUGUUUCCCUGGUUCACAAGAGCAGACCAUUGCUGGUCUUCUUGAAGGCAUCCUAUGUGGCGUCGUGGCUGUGCUAUUCUUCCUGGGAGCUGGACUGUACUUUUGGAAGACAUAUAAGAAGGAAAGGAACACAGAGACUGGAAGAGGAGCAGCAUUGCAGGAGGACCACAGGAACCAAGAUGAUGGCGAUUGGGCAGAGCAGAGCCAGGAAGAGUAUCAACAAGGCAUGUACCAGAGUAUCAGUGCACAACAUAUGGAACAAGAGUUGCCUCUCAACACUGUCUACUUUGCACAACAUCUGGAACAAGAGUUGCCUCUCAACACUGUCUACUCUGCGAUCCAGAACAUACCUGUGAGGGUAUGA